GUCGUUUCCAAUCCAGAUACAUACAAGGUCUUCAAUAGAGUGUGUGAUGGACCUGCCACAAGCAGGUCAGGCAUGCACAGGUGUCAUUUGCAUCGGGAGAGCCGUGCACUUGCUAGAACGCCAGCGCCAACUUCCCCCUUUACAAGAAUCCAAUAAUGAUCCUUCCGCAGGUUCACCUACGGAAA
rnacentral:misc_RNA from 1 species